AUUGAACGCUGGCGGCAUGCUUUACACAUGCAAGUCGAACGGCAGCGCGGGCUUCGGCCUGGCGGCGAGUGGCGAACGGGUGAGUAAUACAUCGGAACGUGCCCAGUAGUGGGGGAUAGCUCGGCGAAAGCCGGAUUAAUACCGCAUACGACCUGAGGGUGAAAGCGGGGGAUCUUCGGACCUCGCGCUAUUGGAGCGGCCGAUGGCAGAUUAGCUAGUUGGUGGGGUAAAGGCCUACCAAGGCGACGAUCUGUAGCUGGUCUGAGAGGACGACCAGCCACACUGGGACUGAGACACGGCCCAGACUCCUACGGGAGGCAGCAGUGGGGAAUGUUGGACAAUGGGCGAAAGCCUGAUCCAGCAAUGACGCGUGUGUGAUGAAGGCCUUCGGGUUGUAAAGCACUUUUGGCGGGAACGAAAAGGACUGUGCCAAUACCACGGUUGGAUGACGGUACCCGCAGAAUAAGCACCGGCUAACUACGUG
rnacentral:rRNA from 1 species